UACGUAGGGGGCGAGCGUUGUCCGGAUUUAUUGGGCGUAAAGAGCGUGUAGGCGGUUCGGUAAGUCUGUCGUGAAGUCCUGAGGCUCAACCUUGGACGUGCGAUGGAUACUGCCGGGCUAGAGGAUGGUAGAGGCGAGUGGAAUUCUCGGUGUAGCGGUGAAAUGCGCAGAUAUCGGGAGGAACACCAGUAGCGAAGGCGGCUCGCUGGGCCAUUCCUGACGCUGAGACGCGAAAGCUAGGGGAGCGAACAGG
rnacentral:rRNA from 1 species